UUGACCGUGAACUGCCAGUAGUCCUGCGACUCGAGCAGCGCCUCGUAGCUGUAGUGGUCGCCGUCCGCGAGCACAUCCAUCACCGUCUCGUCGCCGUACUUGCCCGCGCCGAUCUUGUUCACCUUGCCGUGGGCGAUCAGGCAGAUCAGGUCCGCCUCCUUGCCCUUCUCGGUGAUGACCUCGCCGGCCUUGUACUCCUUCUGGACGAAGCGUUCGGCCAGGGCCUGCAGCACCGCGGUGUCCUCGAAGCCGCGCAGCAGCGGCAGCUCGCACAGCUCCUGCGGGAUGACCUGUACCUUCGCGCCCGUGCUGGUGAACGUCACCCGGCCGUCGCCGACGGCAUAGGUCAGACGGCGGUUGACGCGGUAGGUGCCGCCGGACACCUGCACCCAAGGCAGCAGCUUCAGCAGCCACCGCGAGGAGAUGCCUUGCAUCUGCGGAACGGACUUGGUCGUCGUCGCCAGCUGGCGCGCCGCCUCCGUCCCAAGGCUCAGCUGCUGCUUCUCGG
rnacentral:antisense_RNA from 1 species